rnacentral:tRNA from 1 species
ACUAAAAUGGCAGAUAAUAUGCACAAAGUUUAAGCUUUUGAAAUGAAGAAUUUCUUCUUUUAGUA